rnacentral:rRNA from 1 species
UUUAGCUACCGUCGACAGAACUUUUGCCAACCUGGUGACAUAUCUGAAAGAAAAAGACAUGUAUGACAACACAUUGAUAGUUGUCGCCA